GAUGACUAAAAGCAGCCGCAUGACCAGGAAGCUUACCCCAGCACAGCCAGUGUACUUUGUGUUCUAAUGGAUCUUUGCCCAGAUAUAUAAGGCUGCCUACAACAUGUUACCUAACCCAGGAUAGUCUCAAAUCUGAGGACUUCAGAUCUCAGUCUCUUUACAAAGUGCCAAGAUUGUGGGCAAUG